GUGCUCGCUUCGGCAGCACAUAUACUAAAAUUGGAACGAUACAGAGAAGAUUAGCAUGGUCCCUGCACAAGGAUGACAUGCAAAUUCGUGAAGCAUUCCAUAUUUUU
ensembl:snRNA U6 U6 spliceosomal RNA